rnacentral:rRNA from 1 species
GACGUAGGGUGCGAGCGUUGUCCGGAUUUAUUGGGCGUAAAGAGCUCGUAGGCGGCUCGUCGCGUCGACCGUGAAAACCCGCGGCUUAACUGCGGGCUUGCGGUUGAUACGGGCGGGCUAGAGUUCGGUAGGGGAGACUGGAAUUCCUGGUGUAGCGGUGAAAUGCGUAGAUAUCGAGAGGAACACCUGCGGCGAAGGCGGGUUGCUGGGCCGACACUGACGCUGAUGCGCGAAAGCUAGGGGAGCGAACGGG